GUGGGUAUAGUUCAGUGGUAGAGCACAUGCUUAGCAUGCAUGAGGUCCUGGGUUCAAGUCCCAGUAUCUCCA
rnacentral:tRNA from 1 species